UACGAAGGGGGCUAGCGUUGUUCGGAAUUACUGGGCGUAAAGCGCACGUAGGCGGAUCGAUCAGUCAGGGGUGAAAUCCCAGAGCUCAACUCUGGAACUGCCUUUGAUACUGUCGAUCUAGAGUAUGGAAGAGGUGAGUGGAAUUCCGAGUGUAGAGGUGAAAUUCGUAGAUAUUCGGAGGAACACCAGUGGCGAAGGCGGCUCACUGGUCCAUUACUGACGCUGAGGUGCGAAAGCGUGGGGAGCAAACGGGG
rnacentral:rRNA from 1 species